rnacentral:lncRNA from 1 species
AGACGGACAUUUGAUUUAUUGUGCCAGUGAUAAAGGACUACAGAUGAUCAAUCUACGUGAUGAAUCCAUUACCAAUGUUACCAAUAACAAAGUCUCAGGAAUAUCGUACGUUACAACAUUCGGUGACAAACUGUUCUACACAAACUAUAAAAACGACAGUGUAACCUGUUGUGAUUACCAUGGUAACAUACUGUGGACGUUCUGUGAUACACGUGUUCUGAGCUGUCCACUCGGUAUCACUGUAGACAAUGGCGGUAACGUGUUUGUAGUGGGACAUAUUUCUAAUAAUGUGGUCAUUAUCUCUUCCGAUGGACUACGCCACAGACAACUUUUAUCACGUGAAGAUGGACUGAAGGGACCACAGGUUCUGCACUAUGGCACUUCUACCAAUACAUUGUUAGUGGCAAAUGAAUGCAAUGAUGCAUUCUUGUAUGAAGUUAAAUUAUAAGCUUUGUUUUAAUUUUGAUUAUGUUCUUAAAAUUUUGUGUACAUUUAUAUGUAUAUAUGUAAAAGAAAUUUUGAUACAAAAUAAAUCGUCUUAUGUUUAAAAUGUAUUAAUAUUAUGCAAAACUAUUGCUGGAUUGUGUUCACCGAAUAUUGAUGAUUGGAAAAAAUGAAAAAAUAUAAAAUAUAAAAAUUCAGAAUAAUUGCGUGCUUAUACACAAAUAUCAGGAAAAAGGCGAAACAAUAAAGAACAGAGAAAAUUUGCAUAAAGAAUACCGAAAUGAAGUCUUACGCCCCAUCAUAGAUCUUGCAUCUUAUAUAUUUGCAUAUAUAUGAUUUAAUAUGUCAAAAAAGUGAACACACUCAUAUGUUUCGUGUUUUGCAUGUUCAGUUUUAAGUAAUUCAGCUCUUAUAAUUCAGACACGUAUAAAUACAUAGUUGUCAAAUACCAGCGUUUGUUCUAAGCUCCUAAAUGGAAGGAUGAUUUUCUCCUGCAAUAACCUACAAAAGAUAAGCGUAUUCAAAUCUGACGGUUUGGAAUAUUUUGAAAUAAAUAAUAUCGGUUGCACGUUUGAUAUGUUAUUUAUUGGUGAUUACAAAUGAUAAGUCUUAGAAUCAAUAACAAACUUAAGACCUUUCCGUACGUUACAACAUUCCAUGACAAACUGUUCUACACAAACAGUGACUUGUUGUGAUUACCAUGGUAACAUACUGUGGAUGUUCUGUGAUGAUAGUGUUUUGAAUUACCACUCGGUAUCUAUGUUGACAAUGAUGGUCACGUGUUUGUAGAAGGGAUUUUUACUCACAAUAUGGUCGUCAUAUCUCCUAAUGGACAACGCUACAGACAACUUCUAUCAUAUAAAGAUGGACUGUUUUUUCCACAGGUUCUGCACUAUGACACAUCUAC